rnacentral:rRNA from 1 species
UACGUAGGGGGCAAGCGUUGUCCGGAAUCAUUGGGCGUAAAGAGCGUGUAGGCGGCCUGGUAAGUCCGCUGUGAAAGUCCAGGGCUCAACCCUGGAAUGCCGGUGGAAACUGUCAGGCUCGAGUCCGGAAGAGGCGAGUGGAAUUCCUGGUGUAGCGGUGAAAUGCGUAGAUAUCUGGAGGAACACCGGUGGCGAAGGCGGCAUCCUGGACCAAUUCUGACGCUGAGGAGCGAAAGCCAGGGGAGCAAAGCGGG